CGAGCGCAACCCUACCUUUAGUUGCCAUCGGGUAAUGCCGGGCACUCUGGAAGGACUGCCAUCGACAAGAUGGAGGAAGUGGGGAUGACGUCAAGUCAUCAUGGCCCUUAUGUCCGGGGCGACACACGUGCUACAAUGGCCGGCACAACGGGAAGCGAGUUCGCGAGGACGAGCGGAUCCCUCAAAGCCGGUCGCAGUUCGGAUUGAAGUCUGCAACUCGACUUCAUGAAGCUGGAAUCGCUAGUAAUCGUGGAUCAGCCAAGCCGCGGUGAAUACGUUCCCGGGCCUU
rnacentral:rRNA from 1 species